ACAUGUGUGUGUGUUUCUUUUAGAUAUUAAGGUGUAAUACAUUUUGUUUGAGAUUUCUCUACAUAAUUAGCGCUUUUUUGUGACCUGAGUAGCAAAUGUUUUUUUGAAAAAUUUUUGGUAUUUUAUUUGCAAUUAAAAGAUGUUUAAAAUUCUCACGACAUCCAAUCUAUCAUUUUGUUCCAAUUGUGGUUAAUUUUAUUAUUUUGUGUUUAGCAUGCCCUUCACCCACCAGAAAAUGGUCACUUCUAUAGCAAAUUCUAGAUUGAAUUCUUGAACCUAUUGGAAAUUUAUCUUGGAAAAUAAUAUAUGAACCUAUUUGUUUUUUUGUUACAACUUACAAGUCAUUUUCUUAACGUAAUUUGUCCUAGGCCCCAUUUUUUCUAACGAAUCCUUUAUCAUAUAGAAUAUAUCAUUAUACAUGCAAUAAUAUUAUAGUAUAUGUUAAUUUAUAUAUAUAUAUAUAUAUGUCUUCUCUGUGCCCAUUACCCUGUUCUUUCAAAAUCUGCUAGAAUGAAGGAAGGAUCUGAGGCUUCUCUUUUGUUUACUGUAUUUUUUUUUUUUUGAACUGGAGUUUCACUCUUGUCACCCAGGCUGGAGGGCAAUGGCAUAAUCUCAGCUCACUGCAACCUCCUCCUUCUGGGUUCAAGUGAUUCUCCUGUCUCCACCUCCCGAGUAGCUGAUAGUACAGGAGUGCACAACUACGCUUGGCUAAUGUUUGCAUUUUUAGUAGAGAUGGGGUUUCACCAUUGUUGGCCAGGCUAGUCUCGAAAUCCUGACCUCAGGUGAUCCGCCUGCCUUGGCCUCCCAAAGUGCUGGGAUUGCAGGUGUGAGCCACCGUGCCUGGCUUCUUGUUUACUUUUAAAUCCUUUUCACAAGGAAAGCUGAAACAAUGGAACUUGCCCUGUGAUUCUAAGAAAAUCCCGUGUAUGAGACCUGUGUGACAGCCACUCCUUCCCUCCAGUCCUGUACAAAUGACCACAGCACUGGCAGAUGCAGUCUGACUUUCCUAUCCCUGGAUAAUCCAUUUUUCUUAAGGUAGUUUGUAGAAGAAAGGUGAGCCCAGAGCUUGGAGACACACAAGUCUCUCUUUUGAAAUUAGGGGUGGGACGAGGGGAUUAUGGAGCAACUGCAGUGUGCAAGAUCCUGAGCGGGACACUGCCCAAGCCCUUUACCCCUCUCCCUCCACCCAUGAGGCAUGGGUCAUGAUGUACAGAUCACGGUUGAGGAAACUGAGGCCCAGAGAAGUUAGCUACCUAGACCAACAGGAAGGAGGGAAGUGAUGGGUGCUCCUGCUGGUUGCCUGUCACCAGAGCUGGAAAGCCACCUUAUUCAGAUCUGGGGCCUCCCCCAGUGGGCUCCUUGACAGGUGUACCUCAGCUCCAAUCCCAGAUGCUCCUCUGCCUCCUCCCUACUCAUGCUUACUUAUACUGUUUGAUCUUAGCUGGUAACACUUCUCUUUGCCACAGACAUCUAAAUGCCUUGCAGGCUUAUUGUCAAGGAUGAAAUGACUAGCCAAAAGGGUUUGCAUCAUGAAUGACCCCUAAGUAGGAUUCUUGAGAGAAGAGAGAAAGAGACCCCCCCCCAUAUUGUUCUAUAUUGUUUUAUACUCAGUAACUGUUUUAAGAAGAAACAAGGAAGUGAAACCAAAGGCAGGUAGCCCGGCACCAGGCCCCAGACCCAAAACCAGACCCCAAACCAGGCCUGGGCCUGCCUGAACUUAGCCUGAUAGUUAAAAUUCAACCAAUGACCUAGCAACUGAUGUUAUCCAUAGAUUCCAGACAUUGUAUGGAAGGACAUUGUGAAACUUUCCAUUCUGUUCUGUUUCACUCUGAUUACUGGUACAUGUAGCCCCUGUCACGUACCCCCCUAGGUUGCUCAAUCAAUCACGACCCUCUUAUGUGAAACCUUUAGCAUUGUGAGCCCUUAAAAGGGACAGAAAUUGUGCACUCAACAAGCUCGAAUUUUGAGACGUUAGUCUGCCAAUGCUUCCAGCUGAUUAAAGCCACUU
rnacentral:lncRNA from 1 species